CCAAGGGCCUGGAGAACACGGGCCUUGCUCUCCGCUCAGCAGCCACCAGCGCCCUUCUCUCCCGGACAGCUCCCGAGGGGCUGCUCUCAUGGACACCAUCAGGUGCUGGGAAGCAGGAACCACCAGGACCUGGACAGAGUCCCCAGUGACCGGCCUGGCAGACAGAGGAGCCCUCAGCUACAGCAUCACAAACAACGGGUGGGGAUACCACAUGGAGCAUUUUGAGGAGUGCUGGCCAGGUAUUUUGUAGAAUGUUCCUCAACUGGGAUUUGGCAGAUGCUUCUCAUCCUUAGUCUUGGCUUGUGUGUGUUUUGAGGAGGAGGACCACAGAGCUUAAGAAUCAUUCUCAGCACUCUGUAUCAGGCACGCAUUCUCUCAAGAUGACUUGCCGCUAUUGAAGUUGACUUUGAUCACCUGGCUGAGGAUCGACAUUUGUUCAAGAAGCCUGGUUCCUUUUACUGGAGAAUGGUGUUUAUUGGAGAACAGAGACCUGGGCACCAGAGGAGGAUCAGAGGACUUCUGUCCUGAGAUUGCCAGAAAAAUGAUGAACAGAAAAUUAUACACAACCGAACAGGCCCAACUUUCAAAUGGACUGAGAAUGACCCACACAAGUUCCACCGAGGCCAAGGGUGACCUGCAGCCAGCGACAGGGAAAGACUGCCACUUACUGGCGGCCUCCGGAACUGGAAGGAGUGUACUGACAAUUGUAUCUUUCGCAAGCUCUUAACCUUUAUACCGUCAAUAAAAACCCCAUUAACAUUUAAAAGGGAUGUUUCUGGGUGUCCACUUGGAAUAAG